UGGGGAAUAUUGGACAAUGGGCGCAAGCCUGAUCCAGCCAUGCCGCGUGAGUGAUGAAGGCCUUAGGGUUGUAAAGCUCUUUUACCUGGGAAGAUAAUGACUGUACCAGGAGAAUAAGCCCCGGCUAACUUCGUGCCAGCAGCCGCGGUAAUACGAAGGGGGCUAGCGUUGUUCGGAAUCACUGGGCGUAAAGCGCACGUAGGCGGAUUGUUAAGUCGGGGGUGAAAUCCUGAGGCCCAACCUCAGAACUGCCUUCGAUACUGGCAAUCUCGAGUCCGGAAGAGGUUGGUGGAACAGCUAGUGUAGAGGUGAAAUUCGUAGAUAUUAGCUAGAACACCAGUGGCGAAGGCGGCCAACUGGUCCGGUACUGACGCUGAGGUGCGAAAGCGUGGGGAGCAAACAGG
rnacentral:rRNA from 1 species